UUGACAGCCCUGGAGAGUGCAGGCCUCCGUUUAUCCCCAAAACCGGCCCAGCACAGGCAGCUGCAAGAUGAACUUCCCCCACACUGCCCGGCUGCCACGGUGCCUCAGCCCUGAGCUUGGAGGAUCACUUUCAGGGAGGCUUUCUUUCUUUUGUGCCCUCUCUGCUGAGACUGCC
ensembl:misc_RNA